UACGUAGGGUCCGAGCGUUGUCCGGAAUUAUUGGGCGUAAAGAGCUCGUAGGCGGUCUGUCGCGUCGGAUGUGAAAACCCGGGGCUUAACCCCGGGCCUGCAUUCGAUACGGGCAGACUCGAGUGUGGUAGGGGAGACUGGAACUCCUGGUGUAGCGGUGAAAUGCGCAGAUAUCAGGAAGAACACCGGUGGCGAAGGCGGGUCUCUGGGCCACUACUGACGCUGAGGAGCGAAAGCGUGGGGAGCGAACAGG
rnacentral:rRNA from 1 species